UACGUAGGGGGCUAGCGUUGUCCGGAUUUAUUGGGCGUAAAGAGCGUGUAGGCGGCCAGGUAGGUCUGCUGUGAAAACUCGAGGCUCAACCUCGAGACGUCGGCGGAAACCAUCUGGCUAGAGUCCGGAAGAGGAGAGUGGAAUUCCCGGUGUAGCGGUGAAAUGCGCAGAUAUCGGGAAGAACACCCGUGGCGAAGGCGGCUCUCUGGGACGGUACUGACGCUGAGACGCGAAAGCGUGGGGAGCGAACAGG
rnacentral:rRNA from 1 species